rnacentral:rRNA from 1 species
UUCGCAAUGCCCGAAAGGGUGACUAUGCGACGCCGCGUGGACGAUGAAGGCCUUCGGGUUGUAAAGUCCUGUCAGGUGGGAUGAAUACCAAUGGUCUAAUACACCAAAGGUUUGACAGUACCACCAGAGGAAGCCACGGCUAACUCCGUGCCAGCAGCCGCGGUAAUACGGAGGUGGCAAGCGUUACUCGGAUUUACUGGGUGUAAAGGGUAUGUAGGCGGAUGCGCAAGUCAAAUGUGAAAUCCCUUAGCUCAACUAAGGAAUUGCGUUUGAAACUGUGUAUCUUGAGUGCGGAAGAGGAGAAUGGAAUUCCCGGUGUAAGGGUGAAAUCUGUAGAGAUCGGGAGGAACACCAGUGGCGAAAGCGGUUCUCUAGUUCGCAACUGACGCUGAAAUACGAAAGCUUGGGUAGCAAACAGGAUUAGAUACCCUGGUAGUCCAAGCCGUAAACGAUGGGCACUAAGUAGAGGGGUUUUA